CCAUGGCCAAUAACAGGCUUUGUUGGCUCUGACCAGCUUCAGCUGGGCCUCUGCUCGCACCCUGCCCACAGACCAGGAGCCCAUUUAAGCUCAGCCCUGGAGAUCGUUCAACUCCUGCUUGUAUCACAGAAGUGUUGGCCUCCAGCUCAGCUGCAACUGUUCCUCUCUCUGACCAUGAACCCUGCUGGUUUUGGAUCUUAAUCUGUGGGUUGAUCCUGCCUCAACCUCAGACUUUCUACAUCAUCAGAUGGUUGCUGAUGAACUGGGUGCUUGGCUGCCAUCCCCAGGCCUGUCCUGCUUGCUGUGCUUUGUUGCUGUGAGGCUGCACUCUGAGGUUCCUGCCUUGUCAGCUGCAUUGUGCUUGGCUCCUGGCUCCCCGUCUUUCAGGUAGAAAAAAGAAAUGGCUGAGGAAUCUGGAGCAGAAGCAGAAGACAUGGAUGGAACGAGCACUCCUAAGAUGCAAUGCCGAUCUGUCUCCAAGCAAUUCUGAUAGAGAUGUCGGUAUUUCUGCUGGUCGGGGCUUUCGGGACCGCUACCACGAGGGUCGCCAUUCAGAGGCAAUUUCACAGACCAAAGGCGAAAAUCGCUACGGAAUAAAGUUUCUCCCUUUUCCUCUUCCCCUCCUUUCCCCUGGUGCUCAGAGGGGGAAGGGACCUGCGCACACCACCGAGCAGCCUCACCCGAUGUAAGAAGGAGCCGGAGGGCUGGCCAGGAUGGGGAGAGGAGGAGGAGGAAGGAUGCUAAAAAUACCGCCCUAUGCCGGGCAGCGCGCGGUGCCGGUGCGGGCCGGGUGCGCAGUGUGCGCGCCGCAGUGCGCGGCGGGAGCGGCCGCGCCGCAGGGAUGCUCGCCCCGCUGCUGGGCUCCGCGGGCUCCGGCUGCCUGCUGCUGGGUGAGUGCCCGACCUGCUACGCCCCAAGGCCCCCCCUGACCGCCGCGGGGUGCGGGAGAGGGGCUGUGGGGAUGGGGGCGGCAGCGCGGCCCGGUAGAGGCUAACCGGGACGGAGCCCCUUGGCCCUGGGAGCGGUUCCCCGGCCUUCCAGCACGGGUAUUCCUAUUUAAUCACUUUCCGAUUAAAAGGGGGAAAUGCAAUCGGAUGCUGGUGCUGAACGGCGAGGGUGGUUUUGGAGGUGAAAAUUUGAUAUUCUGCUGCAUGCUUGCAGUUUGAUGGCACACAAUGAGAUGGUGCGGCAGAGCGAGAGAGGGCUGGAGGAACGGCUGGGUGUGUUACAUAAUUUCAAAGCAUUCUCAGGGGUUAUUUGGUCGGUCCAUCUCCAGCAGUGUGUAAGGGCACUUUCUGCUUAUUUGCAGUGGGUGCGUGAAAUAGGGCAGUGUGUGGGGUUGUGUCCGUGCUCGUGUGGGUGGGCAGGGCUGAACUGGUGUCCCAUUGUUUUGUGGACAGGUAGUGAUGGUUCAACCUGUGUCUGGACUAAAAAAAUCCAUGCGGGUCUGAAAUAGGUGCUUCUCUGUAAGGUGUGUAAGGGUUUGGCCUUAAGCUGGGACCUUCGAGUCUGAAGCAUCUUCACUGCAGAAAGGCAUGGCUCGGUGCCUGUGCUAUUUCUCCCUUCAUCCAACAGCAGACUUCCAAGGAGAAGUACAAAGGGGAAAUGAUUUUUAAAGAUGACAGCUUUGCAUCAUUAGGUGAAUCUUCUGCUGGGAAGAGCCAAGAAUGGAAAACAUGUUGUAAUUAUUUAUGUGCAUGUCUACUUGAUGUUUCUGAAUCUGGAAAAGAAAAAAAAAUAGGGAACUGAAUAUCACCUUUGUCUUUGGAAACAUCCUGGUAGCUCACACUGAAGUCAGUGCACUUUCCCUGCUUCAAUCAGCUGCUUCUGAAGUGUAACAAAACUCACACAAUGCUAACUUUUCCCAGUGGGAAUUCCAUGGGUGAAUCAGAGAGCAGGACCUGGCUCAGGGCGAGUGUUUGUUACAGCAUUUUGGGCCCGGAGCCCCAGAGAUUGCUCUGAGCUCCAUUACUGGAUCCGAAGUUUUGCUUAUGACAACAGCAGAGCAGAACCAGUGGGGAAUGAUUCCCUGGGGCCUCCUUGUGCACACUGCAGGACCAACCCCAUGAUAGAACCAUUGAGGUCAGAAAAGACUUCUAAGGUCCCCAACCCAUCCCACCAUGCCUGCUGACUGUGUCCCUCCAGUGUCUCAUCUCCAUAUUCUGGAUCAACUCCAGGCACGGUCAUUCCAUGCUUCCAG